rnacentral:rRNA from 1 species
CAAUCCUGUGAGUAAAGUGGCGCACGGGUGAGUAACACGCGGAUCAUCUACCUUCUAGUGGGGAAUACCUCUGGGAAACCGGAGACAAUACCGCAUAAGCUCGUAAGAGGAAAGCCGAAAGGCGCUGGAAGAGGAGUCCGCGGCUGAUUAGCUAGUUGGCGGGGUAACGGCCCACCAAGGCGAAGAUCGGUAGCCGGCCUGAGAGGACGACCAGCCACACCGGAACUGAGACACGGUCCGGACUCCUACGGGAGGCAGCAGUGGGGAAUAUUGGACAAUGGGGGAAACCCUGAUCCAGCGACGCCGCGUGUGUGAAGAAGGCCUGCGGGUUGUAAAGCACUUUUAGUGGGGACAAAAAGCUACGGAUUAAUACUCUGUGGUCUUGAUUUAACCCAAAGAAAAAGCACCGGCUAACUCUGUGCCAGCAGCCGCGGUAAUACAGAGGGGUGCGA